rnacentral:rRNA from 1 species
UGGGGAAUAUUGGACAAUGGGCGCAAGCCUGAUCCAGCCAUGCCGCGUGAGUGAUGAAGGCCCUAGGGUUGUAAAGCUCUUUCACCGGUGAAGAUAAUGACGGUAACCGGAGAAGAAGCCCCGGCUAACUUCGUGCCAGCAGCCGCGGUAAUACGAAGGGGGCUAGCGUUGUUCGGAUUUACUGGGCGUAAAGCGCACGUAGGCGGACUUUUAAGUCAGGGGUGAAAACCCGGGGCUCAACCCCGGAACUGCCUUUGAUACUGGAAGUCUUGAGUAUGGUAGAGGUGAGUGGAAUUCCGAGUGUAGAGGUGAGAUUCGUAGAUAUUCGGGGGAACACCAGUGGCGAGGGCGGCUCACUGGACCAUUACUGACGCUGAGGUGCGAAAGCGUGGGGAGCAAACAGG